UUGCGCAAUGGGGGAAACCCUGACGCAGCGACGCCGCGUGAGCGAUGAAGGCCUUAGGGUUGUAAAGCUCUGUUUUAAGGGACGAAUGUUACGGGGAGUAAUAUACCCUGUAAAUGACGGUACCUUAAGAGGAAGCCCCGGCUAACUACGUGCCAGCAGCCGCGGUAAGACGUAGGGGGCGAGCGUUGUCCGGAAUUACUGGGCGUAAAGAGCACGUAGGCGGGAACUUAAGUCAGGUGUGAAAGACCGGGGCUCAAGCUCGGGGGUGCAUGUGAAACUGGGGAUCUUGAGGGCAGGAGAGAGAAGGAGAAUUCCUGGGGUAGCGGUGAAAUGCGUAGAAAUCGGGAGGAAUACCAGUGGCGAAGGCGACUUUCGGGAC
rnacentral:rRNA from 1 species